rnacentral:rRNA from 1 species
UAAGGAAUAUUGGUCAAUGGACGAAAGUCUGAACCAGCCAUGCCGCGUGGAGGAUGAAGGUCCUCUGGAUUGUAAACUUCUUUUAUAUGGGACGAAAAAAGGCUUUUCUAAGUCGUCUGACGGUACCAUAUGAAUAAGCACCGGCUAACUCCGUGCCAGCAGCCGCGGUAAUACGGAGGGUGCAAGCGUUAUCCGGAUUCACUGGGUUUAAAGGGUGCGUAGGUGGGUUGGUAAGUCAGUGGUGAAAUCCCCGAGCUUAACUUGGGAACUGCCAUUGAUACUAUCAGUCUUGAAUACCGUGGAGGUCAGCGGAAUAUGUCAUGUAGCGGUGAAAUGCUUAGAUAUGACAUAGAACACCAAUUGCGAAGGCAGCUGGCUACACGAAUAUUGACACUGAGGCACGAAAGCGUGGGGAUCAAACAGGAUUAGAUACCCUGGUAGUCCACGCCCUAAACUAUGGAUACUCGACAUACGCGAUACACUGUGUGUGUCUGAGCGAAAGCAUUAAGUAUCCCACCUGGGCAGUACGAUCGCAAGAUUGC